rnacentral:rRNA from 1 species
GACGAACGCUGGCGGCGUGCCUAAUACAUGCCAGUUGAGCGCUGAAGGUUGGUACUUGUACCAACUGGAUGAGCAGCGAACGGGUGAGUAACGCGUGGGGAAUCUGCCUUUGAGCGGGGGACAACAUUUGGAAACGAAUGCUAAUACCGCAUAAAAACUUUAAACACAAGUUUUAAGUUUGAAAGAUGCAAUUGCAUCACUCAAAGAUGAUCCCGCGUUGUAUUAGCUAGUUGGUGAGGUAAAGGCUCACCAAGGCGAUGAUACAUAGCCGACCUGAGAGGGUGAUCGGCCACAUUGGGACUGUGACACGGCCCAAACUCCUACGGGAGGCAGCAGUAGGGAAUCUUCGGCAAUGGACGAAAGUCUGACCGAGCAACGCCGCGUGAGUGAAGAAGGUUUUCGGAUCGUAAAACUCUGUUGGUAGAGAAGAACGUUGGUGAGAGUGGAAAGCUCAUCAAGUGACGGUAACUACCCAGAAAGGGACGGCUAACUACGUG